rnacentral:misc_RNA from 1 species
UCUCCGUAGGUGAACCUGCGGAGGGAUCAUUACAGAGUUCAUGCACUACCGGGUAGAUCUCCAUACCUAUGUUACUAUUACUUCGUUGCUUUGGCGCGCCGUUAGGCUCCGGCCCCACUACCCGCGCCGGCUGGUAGGGGCCUGUCAGAGGAUCCAAAACCCUGACUAUUAGUGACGUUUGAGUACUUUAUAAUAGUUAAAACUUUCAACAACGGUUCUGUCGGUUCUGGCAUCCAUGAAAAACGGAGCAGAUCGGAAGAGCAACCCUCUGCACCAUAC